rnacentral:rRNA from 1 species
GACGAACGCUGGCGGCGUGCCUAAUACAUGCAAGUCGAACGCAGUGGGGACGGGUGCGUAACACGUGGGUAACCUCCCCUCAGAGGGGGUAACACUUGGAAACAGAUGCUAAAACGCUACUGCUGGAUGAACCCGCGGUGCAUUAGCUAGUUGGUGCGGUAACGGCGCACCAAGGCCACGGUGCAUAGCCGAUCUGAGAGGGUGAGCGGCCACACUGGGACUGAGACACGGCCCAGACUCCUACGGGAGGCAGCAGGGGGGAAUCUUCGACAAUGGACGAAAGUCUGACCGAGCAAUGCCGCGUGAGUGAAGAAGGUUUUCGGAUCGGAAAACACUGUUGUUAGAGAAGCGGUAUCUAACCAGAAAGCAACGGCUAACUCCGUGCCAGCAGCCGCGGUAAUAC